GAGAAAAUUCAUUGAGUUUCCACAUUUUCCCAUUUGUUUUUUGUUUGAAUUAUGAUUUUUGACGUUAUUAUGUUUGCUUCUUCUACGGAGAUGUGCGUGCUACUGUUCCAAAUGGAAGAAGUGGAUUAGGUGCUUGUGACGUGGCACAUAUAUUCGAGAUCCGGUGUGGCUG